CGUGAGAUGUUGGGUUAAGUCCCGCAACGAGCGCAACCCCUAUUGUUAGUUGCUACGCAAGAGCACUCUAGCGAGACUGCCGUUGACAAAACGGAGGAAGGUGGGGACGACGUCAAAUCAUCAUGCCCCUUAUAUCCUGGGCUACACACGUAAUACAAUGGCGGUCAACAGAGGGAAGCAAAGCCGCGAGGCAGAGCAAACCCCCAAAAGCCGUCCCAGUUCGGAUUGUAGGCUGCAACUCGCCUGCA
rnacentral:rRNA from 1 species